UGAAGGGACGAACGGGCAGCUUGUGUUCUCCUUGCCCUUGUGCCUUUCUGUGGGUUCCGGAGCUUUCCUUCAAACCCAAGAUUCAGAUAGAAACCAAAUCCCAUCAGGCUUGGGGCCAGCUUUUUCUGCAGAUUUCAGAUAGGGAGGCAGCCUGUGAAUUCUUGCCAGAGAAGGCGAGUUCACUUUCUACGGAGGACAAGCCAUCCCAGCUCUACUCCGGAGGUCAAAAUGUCCAUCCUUGCCCCCGCCCUCCUAGACUGCACUUCAGCACUUGCCCCUUCACAGGGAACGGUUCAAGAAACUGCAGAUGUUGCUGAGUGUCACAAGAGCAUGGGAGUGGGUUUGAACCCUGGUACCAUGGUCAGAAGAGCUGUGGUCAACACACAUUGCCAGAGUUUCCAGGAAUAAACAAAAACAGAAACAACUGAAGGCACACAGAACUCUCUCACUCUCGUGUAACCAUCACAGGGGGAGUCUGGCCCUCUGGGUCCGGAUCUUUCCACCCCACCGUGGGACCUCAGUUUCAGGACAGUCUGUACUGUACGGCAAGUGCUCCGUUUGGCAGAGUCUACAGCUCUGCUGUAGGCGACACCAUGAGUCCCGUGGCUUCAGACUGAAGAGCAGGGUCCCUCGAGAUCAUUCUCAAGAUCAUUUGACCCCUGAGUCCCACCACUGUUUUCUAGACCUGCAUUUUUCAGUGUCCAGAUUGAGGAUCACCUGUUGAACGUUUGAUGACACACACAUGGGUUCUACUGUUCUUAGAAGACCGAGAGAGCGAUUCUGACUCGAGGGUUAGCUACGAGCAUCCUGGAAGAGAAGGAAUUUAACUGAGCCUGAAAAUAUAACCAGGAGUUUGAAAUGUAGGAAAGACUGAAGACAAAUAUUUGUCACUGUGAGAUCACAUGGGAAGCUGUGAGCAGUGAUGCCUGUCUGGAGACUGGGGUCGGGCAGGGGCAAUUGUGAGUUCAAGGACAACCUGGGAGUAUAGCAAGCUUGACUGAGCCAGCUUGGACUACAGAAGGAGACACUGCACAGAACGAAGUGGACAAAUUUUCAUUAAAAAGUAGGGGUACACUCACUGGAGUAUGGUCACAGUCCCAGGGGCCAGCCCCUUAUAGAAAUUCCAGUCCUUUCCCACCUGCACCCCUCAGAAGCCACCGAUUGUGGAAAGCGGUACUUCAGCAUCCUUGUCACACGUUUUAAGGGAUUUCUUCAGUAGCUUUCUAUCUAGGCUGUUACCUUUUGGGGGUUGGGGGUAGGAAUGGUAGGAGUUGUCACAGAAACCUUCCGUGUCUCUCUUUCUCAUCUCUUGAAUCUGCAGUCAUCAAUACCAUGGCAAAAACAGCCUUCUUGCCCUUUACAGGACUUACACAUGGUUUCUGGAGCCAGCAUGGACCAUGGACCGCCACAAGGUCUCUAGUGGCAGGCAGCACAUGCCCUGGACCUCAGCUUAAAGGAGAAGAAAGUUGGCAUAUGCAGCCAAGAAGGAAAGUUGAAACGAUGAAUAGUCUUUGCUUCAGUGCCAGA